CUCCACCGGAAAAAGAGGAGUGGCGAACGGGUGAGUAACACGUGGGUAACCUGCCCAUCAGAAGGGGAUAACACUUGGAAACAGGUGCUAAUACCGUAUAACAAUCGAAACCGCAUGGUUUUGAUUUGAAAGGCGCUUUCGGGUGUCGCUGAUGGAUGGACCCGCGGUGCAUUAGCUAGUUGGUGAGGUAACGGCUCACCAAGGCGACGAUGCAUAGCCGACCUGAGAGGGUGAUCGGCCACAUUGGGACUGAGACACGGCCCCAAACUUCCUACGGGAGGCAGCCAGUAGGGAAUUCUUCGGCAAUGGACGAAAGUCUGACCGAGCAACCCCCGCCUGAGUGAAGAAGGUUUUCGGAUCGUAAAACUCUGUUGUUAGAGAAGAACAAGGAUGAGAGUAACUGUUCAUCCCUUGACGGUAUCUAACCAGAAAGCCACGGCUAACUACGUGCCAGCAGCCGCGGUAAUACGUAGGUGGCAAGCGUUGUCCGGAUUUAUUGGGCGUAAAGCGAGCGCAGGCGGUUUCUUAAGUCUGAUGUGAAAGCCCCCGGCUCAACCGGGGAGGGUCAUUGGAAACUGGGAGACUUGAGUGCAGAAGAGGAGAGUGGAAUUCCAUGUGUAGCGGUGAAAUGCGUAGAUAUAUGGAGGAACACCAGUGGCGAAGGCGGCUCUCUGGUCUGUAACUGACGCUGAGGCUCGAAAGCGUGGGGAGCAAACAGGAUUAGAUACCCUGGUAGUCCACGCCGUAAACGAUGAGUGCUAAGUGUUGGAGGGUUUCCGCCCUUCAGUGCUGCAGCUAACGCAUUAAGCACUCCGCCUGGGGAGUACGACCGCAAGGUUGAAACUCAAAGGAAUUGACGGGGGCCCGCACAAGCGGUGGAGCAUGUGGUUUAAUUCGAAGCAACGCGAAGAACCUUACCAGGUCUUGACAUCCUUUGACCACUCUAGAGAUAGAGCUUCCCCUUCGGGGGCAAAGUGACAGGUGGUGCAUGGUUGUCGUCAGCUCGUGUCGUGAGAUGUUGGGUUAAGUCCCGCAACGAGCGCAACCCUUAUUGUUAGUUGCCAUCAUUUAGUUGGGCACUCUAGCAAGACUGCCGGUGACAAACCGGAGGAAGGUGGGGAUGACGUCAAAUCAUCAUGCCCCUUAUGACCUGGGCUACAACACGUGCUACAAUGGGAAGUACAACGAGUCGCAAAGUCGCGAGGCUAAGCUAAUCUCUUAAAGCUUCUCUCAGUUCGGAUUGUAGGCUGCAACUCGCCUACAUGAAGCCGGAAUCGCUAGUAAUCGCGGAUCAGCACGCCGCGGUGAAUACGUUCCCGGGCCUUGUACACACCGCCCGUCACACCACGAGAGUUUGUAACACCCGAAGUCGGUGAGGUAACCUUUUGGAGCCAGCC
rnacentral:rRNA from 1 species